UAAAAAGCUCGUAGUCGAACUUCGGGCUCUGUCAGCCGGUCCGCCUUCUUGGUGUGUACUUGUUUGAUGGAGCCUUACCUCCUGGUGAACGGCGAUGUCCUUUACUGGGUGUCGUCGCAAACCAGGACUUUUACUUUGAAAAAAUUAGAGUGUUCAAAGCAGGCCUUUGCCCGAAUACAUUAGCAUGGAAUAAUAAAAUAGGACGCGCGUUCCCAUUUUGUUGGUUUCUGAGAUCGCCGUAAUGAUUAAUAGGGAUAGUUGGGGGCAUUUGUAUUCCGUCGUCAGAGGUGAAAUUCUUGGAUUGCCGGAAGACAAACUACUGCGAAAGCAUUUGCCAAGGAUGUUUUCAUUGAUCAAGAACGAAGGAAGGGGGAUCGAAAACGAUUAGAUACCGUUGUAGUCUCUUCUGUAAACUAUGCCAAUUGGGGAUCGGUACAGGAUUUUUAAUGACUGUAUCGGCACCCGAAGAGAAAUCUUUAAAUGAGGUUCGGGGGGGAGUAUGGUCGCAAGGCUGAAACUUAAAGGAUUUGACGGAAGGGCACCACCAGGUGUGGAGCCUGCGGCUUAAUUUGACUCAACACGGGGAAACUCACCAGGUCCAGACACAAUAAGGAUUGACAGAUUGAUAGCUCUUUCUUGAUCUUGUGGUUGGUGGUGCAUGGCCGUUCUUAGUUGGUGGAGUGAUUUGUCUGGUUAAUUCCGAUAACGAACGAGACCUUAACCUGCUAAAUAGACCAGCCGGCUUUGGCUAGCUGCUGUCUUCUUAGAGGGACUAUCAGCGUUUAGCUGAUGGAA
rnacentral:rRNA from 1 species